GACCUCAGAUCAGGUAGGACUACCGCCUGAACUUAAGCAUAUCAAUAAGGCGAGGAACAGAAACCAACAGGGAUUCCCCUAGUAGUGGCGAACGAAGCGGGAAAAGCUCAAGUUUGAAAUCUGGGUGGCCCGUCCCCUCAGAGUUGUAAGCUGAAGAGGCAUCGACCGAUCCGGUCCGGGUCCAAUUUCCUUGGAACAGGAGGUCAUGGAGGGUGAGAACCCCGUCCUUGGCUCGGAUACCGUGGUCCUUGUGUCGUGUCCUCGAAGAGUCGGGUUGUUUGGGAAUGCAGCUCAAAAUGGGUGGUAAAUUUCAUCUAAGGCUAAAUAUUGGCGAGAGACCGAUAGCAAACAAGUAGAGUGAUCGAAAGAUGAAAAGUACUUUGAAAAGAGAGUGAAACAGUACGUGAAAUUGUUGAAAGGGAAGCGU
rnacentral:rRNA from 1 species